AUUUAAAUAGCUUAAAAAGAGUGUAAUAUUGAAGAUAUUAAGGUGAUUAUUUUAAUUUUUAAAUA
rnacentral:tRNA from 1 species